GAGAAGUUGCGGAAGUCCAGCGCCGUGGCGAUGAGCCCACUGAGGGUCAGGGGCAUUAGCAGGGAAACUGAGGACAGCGCCUUUGUUACUCCAGGUGGGAACUGAUGCAGUUCUGGGGCUCAGGUGUUUCCUAGAGUGAGACUUAAUGCCAAAUUAUCAGACCUAGGGUAUCCUUCCUUCUAGAAAUUAUCCUCCUCUGAGCCCCCUUCAGAGGAUUUACUGAUAAUUCUGAUGGUUUUCCUGCCAACAGGCUGUCUGGAGGAGUCGCCAGCAGUGUGAGCUACUGUGAGUACCUGGAGCUUCUCCUUUGCUGGCCCAGCAGGAGUCAACCUUCCCCCUUCCUGAGACAAGGAGGGAGGAGCUCUCCGCUAGGAGGCCGGGGGGCCUGGGGCCCUGACCUCACUCUGUGUGUGGGAGGCAUCGUUCCUUUGUGGACAUUUCAGGAAGAUGCCCCUCAGGGCUGCCUUCAGGAUGGGUGUUCAGGGACCCAGAAGGGAUGCGCAGAGCUGCCCUGGCCCUCCCUCUGUCUCUCUACAGCCGUGGUGUCAGGCACAGUCUCUGCUUCUGGGGCAGCCUUGUCUGGUUUCAUCUCGGGGGGCAGCGUUUCUGUGAGGGGAGGCGGCACCCUCAGAGGAUCCCGUGCACCAUCUGGGUCUGUGUCCAGGGCUUUGGGGUCUGCAGGGACCAGUGAAGCUCCCAAGAGUGUGGAUCUGAAGUUGGGAAUUCUGGAGGUGCAAAUGCUAGUGCGAGAAAUGAGGGGUCCAGUCUGAGGAGCACCUGGGGCUCCAGCUCAGGGCACAGAAACUUGUAGGUCUCCCACCCAGAGGCAAAGUUGAAUCUUCUGGCCCUGAGGUGGUGUCCAUCGACCUGAGUAUUUUGCGGUGUACAUACCUGCUCUGGCCCUACUCCCACCUUUUAUUUUCUUUGGCAAUUUGGAAACAGCCCCCUGGGUCAAAAUAAGUUAUUUUUCUUUUCUUUUUUUAAUACAUCCAAAGUGGGGCCCCAUAGGAAACCCUUCUCAAUGGGCCUGCGGGAGGUCUGUCACCCUCCUCCCUGCCUUGCCCUGUAUCCCCGUAGCGAUCUUAGUCCACGCUGGCCCCUUCUGUCGUGCAGAAGCAAACGUGUUCCUUCUGUUCCAGUCCUGACGUGCGGGCAUGGGCACACCCCCUUUGCUGUCAUGAGUGUCAACUUUCUGUCAUCCACGUUCAGGAGUGUUAGGCAUCACCCCAGGAAUCGGCAGCCGUGGCUUAUCAAUCACUUGUUCUGAUUUGAUUUUCUAAAGCCCCCUCUGACUCAUUCUGGGGCAUCAGGCCUCCCACAGAGUCACAGAUCCUAGAUGCUCGCCCAAGGUGGGAGGCGAGGAGAAGAUCUACAGGGAGGUACGAAGAGGUGGUCAAGACCUCUGUCUACUGGGAAGGCAGAAACAGAAAUUGUGGAUGAGCACAUGUCCUAAAGAGGACAUUUUCAAGCCUCCUUGGCAAAUAAUUGUGGCCAUGAAACUGAGUUCUGGACAGUAGAAUGCCAGCAGAAAUCAUAUGUUCCUGGUUGUGCCCUUAAAAGGCAGAGCCGCUGAGAGUGAUUCAGGCUCAGAAGAAAAAAGUGUGAGCAGCGCAAUGUUGUAUAAAUGGAAUGAUACAGUCUGGAAGCUUGUUUUACUCAGCACGCUUCUCUGGAGAUUCAUCUAGGUGGUUGCACGUACCAAUAGUUUGUUGCUUUUCAUUGCUGAGGAGUACUCCAUGGUGUGGACGGACCAUAGUUUGUCACCUGCUGAAGAGCGUUCGGGUUGUUUGUAUUUUUUGGCUGCCACAAAUAAAACUGCUA